AUGGCUGUCCUAGUGCUGCUCCUCUGUCUGGUGACAUUUCCAAGCUGUACCUUGUCCCAGAUACAGCUGAAGGAGUCAGGACCUGACCUGGUGCAGCCAUCACAGACCCUGUCGCUCACCUGCACUGUCUCUGGAGUCUCAUUAACCAGCAAUGCUGUAAGCUUGAUCCGUCAGCCUUCAGGAAGAGGUCUGGAGUGGAUGGGAGGAAUAGAGAGCAAUGGAAAUGCAUAUUAUAAUUCAGCUCUUCAGUCCCGAAUCAGCAUCAUCAGGGACACCUCCAAGAGCCAAGUUUUCUUAAAACUGAACAUUCUGCAAACUGAAGACCCAGCCAUGUAUUUCUGUGCCACAGACAUAGUGAGAGAACUCCAGUGUGAGCCUGCGCAAAAACCUCCUAUGGAGACACUCACGACCAGCAGGGGGCAUUGGAGACCAACAGGGUCUCCCAAGAGCAGUAUGGGGUUGCUUAAUAAGAUAAGAAGUUCUAAACUACGCUGCAUGGAAAUAUGUUUCAAUAUUAGAAUCUGUGUUUUUCUCUUCCAAACACAAAUAAGAAAAAAAUUCUCUAGAGGCCUCUCUUUACGGUCAUAG